rnacentral:misc_RNA from 1 species
UGUGGGAGCGAGCCUGCUCGCGAUGGCGUCGGAUCAGUGCCAUUGAUGUUGAUUGACCCACCGCUAUCGCGAGCAGGCUCGCUCCCACA